rnacentral:rRNA from 1 species
CGCUGGCGGUAGGCCUAACACAUGCAAGUCGAACGGCAGCACAGGAGAGCUUGCUCUCUGGGUGGCGAGUGGCGGACGGGUGAGGAAUACAUCGGAAUCUACCUUUUCGUGGGGGAUAACGUAGGGAAACUUACGCUAAUACCGCAUACGACCUACGGGUGAAAGUGGGGGACCGCAAGGCCUCACGCGAUUAGAUGAGCCGAUGUCCGAUUAGCUAGUUGGCGGGGUAAUGGCCCACCAAGGCGACGAUCGGUAGCUGGUCUGAGAGGAUGACCAGCCACACUGGAACUGAGACACGGUCCAGACUCCUACGGGAGGCAGCAGUGGGGAAUAUUGGACAAUGGGCGCAAGCCUGAUCCAGCCAUACCGCGUGGGUGAAGAAGGCCUUCGGGUUGUAAAGCCCUUUUGUUGGGAAAGAAAUCCUGUCGAUUAAUACUCGGUGGGGAUGACGGUACCCAAAGAAUAAGCACCGGCUAACUUCGUGCCAGCAGCCGCGGUAAUACGAAGGGUGCAAGCGUUACUCGGAAUUACUGGGCGUAAAGCGUGCGUAGGUGGUGGUUUAAGUCUGCUGUGAAAGCCCUGGGCUCAACCUGGGAAUUGCAGUGGAUACUGGAUCACUAGAGUGUGGUAGAGGGAUGCGGAAUUUCUGGUGUAGCAGUGAAAUGCGUAGAGAUCAGAAGGAACAUCCGUGGCGAAGGCGGCAUCCUGGGCCAACACUGACACUGAGGCACGAAAGCGUGGGGAGCAAACAGGAUUAGAUACCCUGGUAGUCCACGCCCUAAACGAUGCGAACUGGAUGUUGGGUGCAACUUGGCACCCA